ACCAUGUGCAUGGUGUGUUGAGCUAGCUGCCUGUCGCGCCGUGGGAGCCGAUCGAGAGCGUGUGAGCCCGGCCUCUUCUGCGCGGCGGCGGAUGGACCGGAUCGGAGGAAUGGUGUGGUGUGAGUUGAGUGAAGUGCCCAAGAUAAAGGGUGAAGCUGCCAGCAUGAUCUAACGACGGCAUUGCUCUGCUGCUGCAGUGAGGCUUGCGAGUGAUGGUUAGAUCAUGCUGUGACAGUUUCACUCUUUCCCUUUGGGCACAUCGAUCUCUUCCCCUCCUCUCUCUCUUUCAAUUCUCUCCCCUUUUGCAAUCAGACUCGUCACUCGCGCACAAAUUCCACCACUCGCCACCCUCCGUAUGGGAGGCAAUCGUCGGGGAUUUCCGGCCCAACCACAGGUUGCACAGCCUCCGUGUCAGGAAUGCCACACCGGCCUUUGGAAGGCCCACGGAGCGGCUUUGACGGGCAGAAAUAGAAAGGA